CCUACGGGUGGCUGCAGUGGGGAAUAUUGCACAAUGGGCGCAAGCCUGAUGCAGCCAUGCCGCGUGUGGGAAGAAGGCCUUCGGGUUGUAAAGCACUUUCAGCGGGGAGGAAGGCGGUGAGGUUAAUAACCUCAUCGAUUGACGUUACCCGCAGAAGAAGCACCGGCUAACUCCGUGCCAGCAGCCGCGGUAAUACGGAGGGUGCAAGCGUUAAUCGGAAUUACUGGGCGUAAAGCGAACGCAGGCGGUCUGUCAAGUCGGAUGUGAAAUCCCCGGGCUCAACCUGGGAACUGCAUUCGAAACUGGCAGGCUAGAGUCUUGUAGAGGGGGGUAGAAUUCCAGGUGUAGCGGUGAAAUGCGUAGAGAUCUGGAGGAAUACCGGUGGCGAAGGCGGCCCCCUGGACAAAGACUGACGCUCAGGUGCGAAAGCGUGGGGAGCAAACAGGAUUAGAUACCCGAGUAGUC
rnacentral:rRNA from 1 species